rnacentral:lncRNA from 1 species
UGAUUCUCCUGCCUCAUCCUCCCUCGUAGCUGGGAUUACAGUUCUCUUGCAGGAUCUCCUUCCCAGCCUUCAGAAAUUGCCGGUCUGGGAGUUGGGGGCAAGGAGAAGAUCCUGAAUUAGACCUUUACGAGAAGCACAGUUUUGUCUUCAGUUUCCUCUCCCCCCACCCGGAAUGGCCUGAGCCGAAGCCAGCUCCCUCCGAGAAGUCAUUACCGCCUGACUUGCGUUUGAUAUUUAGACACCUUGGUCACAACAUCUUGCAUUCUCUCGGGAUGCUGAUUUCUAACUGCUCUUUGGCCUUUCCUGCAUUGGUCCUCCUCAGGCAGGGGAUCCCUGCUCUUCUAUAUUAAUGCUGGCUCCCCGUCCCCUGUCCACCAUGAGUCAAAGCAAUGUGAGUCCCUCACCAGAUGCAACUGCCCAGUCUUGGACUUUCCAGUGACCAGAAUCAUGAGCCAAAUAAACCUCUUUUCUUUAUGAAUUACCCAGCCUCAAGUAUUCUGUUAUAGCAAAACAAAACAGACAAAGACAGUUUACCUACUUACUUACUAACUCAGGAA